rnacentral:rRNA from 1 species
UACGUAGGGGCCGAGCGUUGUCCGGAGUUAUUGGGCGUAAAGCGCGCGCAGGCGGCUUGGCGCGCCCGACGUGAAAGCCCCCGGCUUAACCGGGGAGAGUCGUCGGGUACGGCCAGGCUUGAGGGCGGGAGAGGGUGGUGGAAUUCCCGGUGUAGUGGUGAAAUGCGUAGAGAUCGGGAGGAACACCUGUGGCGAAGGCGGCCACCUGGGCCGACCCUGACGCUGAGGCGCGAAGGCGUGGGGAGCGAACGGG